rnacentral:rRNA from 1 species
AUACGGAGGAUGCGAGCGUUAUCCGGAUUUAUUGGGUUUAAAGGGUGCGUAGGCGGGUGUUUAAGCGUGAGGUGAAAUGCCGGGGCUCAACCUCGGAACUGCCUCGCGAACUGGGCGCCUUGAAUGCUCCUGCCGUGGAAGGAAUGUGUGGUGUAGCGGUGAAAUGCAUAGAGAUCACACAGAACACCGAUUGCGAAGGCAUCUCACGAAGGGGUGAUUGACGCUGAGGCACGAAAGCGUGGGGAUCAAACAGGAUUAGAUACCCUGGUAGUCCACGCAGUAAACGAUGAUAACUAACCGCUGGUCUAUUUAUGGUUCAGUGGCCAAGCGAAAGCGAUAAGUUAUCCACCUGGGGAGUACGACCGCAAGGUUGAAACUCAAAGGAAUUGACGGGG